GCGCGCUGCUCUCUCCUGCGUCAGUGACUCACUAAAAGCCACAGAAAGAACGACAGCUUCCUGACAUGGCAUCUCUUCUUGAGACAUUGUAAUCCAACUUGGAUGGAACAACUUCGUGACCUUAAUGACACCCAGCAACACGGUGAGAUUAUAAUCCAUUUAAAUGCCAGAAGCAAGCAAUUAUUUGUUUUUAAGAUGUUUUUUUCUUUAUUUGUGUUAGAGCUAGAGAGACACACAAGCACCACAGGGGAGGAUCUGCAGCAAAGGGACCACCGGAAAUCAAACCUUGGCCGCUAUGAUGACGACAACAUGGGGCACUUAAGUGUGAAUCUAGCCUUUUCAUUUUUAUUUACAACAUUAGCAUUGAAAAGAGCAAAAGUUGAUGCUUGAGAUGAUUUUGUUUUUACUGAAGAGGAUGUACGUCUUCCCCUUGUCCUUUAUCCCCUUACUCUUUCUUUUUAGGUGUGAUUACGACUACCAGCAUGGACCUCAACACCUUCUUUGCUGUUCCACUAGUGUGACCCAUGAUCGGAUCCAAGUUGUCAAGGAUAAACGGGAAGAUCAUGUCCGCCCACAGACAACCGGUUGACCUGUAAGUCUUCAAGCAGUAAUGAUGACUACGCCUUAAGUUCCAGUUUCCUGAACAUCAUGUCGGCAUGAGAUUCUGUCCCCACCUGUCUUCAGUCUGGACCCAAUGAGUUGUUUUUUUACAGGGGGUUUCAGUCACAUGGUUUAUUUCGAGGCUUUGUCUGAGUUUCAGUGCUGCAGUUAUUUACCAUUCAGGUGUGUUCAGAAAAAUCCAAUUUGUCAUACUCAUUUGAAGGGCUUGCUGCAGUGAUUCUUUUGUGUACACCAGGAUUUCUUUGUAUUUUGGCAUUUUACACAAAUGUUUUUGAAAGAUGGUCAACAAAGUUGCACAAAUAAAUGUUUACAUGCUGCUUUCCUAAA